rnacentral:rRNA from 1 species
UACGUAGGGUGCGAGCGUUAAUCGGAAUUACUGGGCGUAAAGCGUGCGCAGGCGGUUCUGAAAGUCAGCUGUGAAAGCCCCGGGCUUAACCUGGGAAUUGCGGUUGAAACUACAGGGCUAGAAUCUGGCAGAGGGGGGUGGAAUUCCACGUGUAGCAGUGAAAUGCGUAGAGAUGUGGAGGAACACCGAUGGCGAAGGCAGCCCCCUGGGCUGAGAUUGACGCUCAGGCACGAAAGCGUGGGGAGCAAACGGG